GCUGGGCGUGGUGGCGGGCGCCUGUAAUCCCAGCUACAUAGGAGGCUGAGACAGGAGAAUUGCUUGAACUCAGGAGGCGGAGCUUGCAGUGAGCCGAGAUCGCGCCACUGCACUCCAGCCUGGGUGACAGAGUGAGACUCUGUCUCAA
rnacentral:SRP_RNA from 1 species